rnacentral:lncRNA from 1 species
AAACACUUGAUAUACGUCAACAACUAUUGCUUUUGAGGUUGAAUUAAUAAUCUAAAAAGAAAAUGACGAAGUCACUGAGGUGUGGAUGCUAUGGUUCUACCAUCCCCAGUCUCCCUUCCCCCUUUCAAUCAGAACCCUAAUUGUGUUUCAGAUACUCCUUGGACAUACCCCAUCCCCAGAGGAGCUCAUGUCAGACUCUGUGGACGGACCUGUUGCUCUAAGCUUGAGGAGGAAGCCAACCUCAAGGAUUAUCCGGAGAAGAGAAGAAGAAACCUGUGUCUUUGACAACUUGUUUGAGCCGUUAGUCAACAAAUCGUAAAACCCACCUUGCUUAGAAGUCUAUUACAUAGCGCAAUAAAUUUCUGUUUUUUUUUUGAGUUGGGGUCUCGCUCUGUUGCCCAGGCUGGAGUGCAGUGGCGUGAUCUUGGCUCACUGCAACCUCCAUCUCCCAGGUUCAAGUGAUUCUCCUGCCCCAGCCUCCCGAGUAGCUGGGACUAUGGGCGCCUGCCACGACGCCCGGCUAAUUUUUGUAUUUUUAGUAGAGACUGGGUUUCACCAUAUUGGUCAGGCUGGUCUCAAACUCCUGGCCUUGUGAUCGGCGCACCUCAGUCACCCAAAGUGCUGGGAUUACAGGCAUGAGCCACCGCGCCCAGCCAAAUUUCUGUACUUUUAAAGCCAGUUCAAGUUGAUAUUUCCAUUGCCUAUUAACAAAAGUAUCUUAUCUGAUAUAGAUGGUCUCUAACAUGGUUGGUGUUCCUUCAAUAUCCAAGCUCUGGGUCUGGUUCAGAAUUCUGUAAGUCGCAGAAUCAUAGAACGAUAGAAGUCAGAGAGCCAAUCUUGUUCCCAUUACAUAAAGGCUAAGAUGCAGGCCCAGAGAUGGGAAGCAACUUGUGCCAGGACACACAGCUAAUAGGGUGCAAAGUCAUAAGGUGCAUCCAUGUUUUGCUUGACUCUUAAAAAACUUUCUUUCCUUGAACCCCACUGUCAGCAUCUGAGAAAAAAAAAAAAGCUGAUAUUAUAUGAGAAUACAGAAAAAGGAAUGAAAACCAAGAAGCAAAACUUCUCUGCAGAUUCUUCAGGAGAUCUAACUCCCAGAAGCCCUCCAGCUUUCACCCAGCCUCUAGUUCUCCAAGGCUCAGAUCUGUUUAGUGUUUUCCACGCCAUGAUAUAUGUGGCACUAACGGCCAGAGCAGGGCCUGAUAAACUCUUCUGGGACUGAUGGCCCUCAGGACACAUUGUAGAUCAAGGCGAUGAGAGGGCACUGAUGAGAUGCUACAGUGUGGCCAGCCCAAGCUUUUGCUUAAAUGCACCCUUCACAGUACUGAGCAACAAGGAAGUGACUCUCAGACACAGAGACAGAACUGGCAUCAAACAACUUUGGGAACCUCAGCUUCAGGCAGGCCCAGGAGACGUCAGUGCAUCUUAAAUGGGCUGCCUUUUCUUCCUUUCACCAGGCCAGAGGCUGAGGACUUAUAACACGUACACAUGCUGGGGCUGAUCUUGAGUCCAAGCCCACUCACUUCCAAGAGAGUAAGCAAUCUUAUACAGAUUGAGCAUCCCUUAUCCAAAAAUCCGAACUUCUAAAUACUCCAAAAUCUGAAAUAUUCUGAGCGCCAACAUGAGAUAGUGACUCCUUUCCUUUGAUUCAAUGGAAACAAACUUUGUUUCAUGCACAAAUUAUUUAAAAUAUUGUAUAUAUGUGUAUAAGGUGUAUAGGAAACAUAAAUGAAUUUUGUGUUUAGACUUGAGUCCUUUUUCCAAGAUAUCUUGCAUAUAUGGAAAUAUUCCAAAAUCUGAAAAAAAAAAGAGAAAAGAAAAAAGAAAACACCAAAUCUGAGAUGCUUCUGGUUCCAAGCAUUUUGGAUAAGGUAUAUGCAACCUAUUAGGUUGGCUCAAAAGUAAUUGCGAUUUUGCCAUUACUUUCAAUAGCAAAACCAUAAUUACUUUUGCACCAACCUAGUGGAAUAGAUUAUACCAUGGUAGAGACUCCUAGCGCUCAUCUGUAUUUGGGUCUCUUCUUUUGAGUGCAUGGGAGGGUUACAUUUUUUCACACACACACCCUUUGAAGGUGGGAUCAUACAAUUAGCUCUAGUCCAUUGGCAGUGAGCAGAAUGGAUCAUAUUUAUUCUGAAUCAAUGCAUUUCAUUGCCAGUGAGAUAUCAUCCAGUUUCUCUUCCUCUGCCUUGGCAAUCAUGGACACAUGUGUAAUCGAAGUGCUGCAAGACGGAAAGUACCUGGAGCUCUAAAUUGCAUGGUGAUUGAGAAGAGAACUGCCCAAGAGAGUGGUUUCAAUCUGCAGUAAAGAACAGACUUUUGUUAAGUCACAAGAUUUCAGUGCUGUUUGUUAUUGAAGCAUAACCUAGCCUAACUGACACAGUAGUCUAAUCAAUAUCAGUAAUAGCUACUAUCAUUAUAUAAGCACUGUUUCAGGAACUGUGUUCAAAGUUUUAUGGACCUUAAGUCAUUUACAUUCCACACUAAACCUACAGGAGAAGAUCUGGGAUUUUCUCAGGGACAAAUAUGUAAGACAUAGCAGCUGCAAAUUCUCAUAUGUAGGCUGAUUUAACUCCAAAAUCUCAUAUGCUUUAUUGUUAAACAUUAAAAAAGAAACCCAGAGGGAGAAAAACUUAUAAUUUAAAAAUCAGAUGGAAAAAUAUGUAUGUAAGAUGAUCCCAAUUAUUUUUACAUAGGCAGAGAGAACAGAAGUGGACCAUGCUAUAUAAUAUAUACAGUUGAUAUCUUUCAUGGUUUUAUGGAAGAUUUUUGUUUUAUUUUUAUAUGGAUCUACAAUCUUUUAGGUCUUCCACAAUGAGUAAACAUUAUUAAGUCUUCUACAAGAACCACACAUUAUUCAAUAAUCAGAAAGCUAUACAUCUUUAGACAUAAGAUAGUAUCCAAAAUAGAAUGUGAGUUUCUGAUAUCUGAAACCUUCCACCACUCAAGGAAACUUGGGGAGUGAUGGAGAACAAAUGUUCAUUAAGCCCCUACUAUGUGCCUAUCAUUUUUAAUAUGUUUUCGCAUUUAUUCCUCCCACCUAUCCUGGAGAAACAAGGAUUUAUCUUCCCAAUAUUCAGGUAAGGAUUCUGAGAGGUUAAGUGACUUGCCUAAGGUCAUACAGCUAUGACAAAUCAGAACAAGGCUUUUGGACCCCAAACUCAUGUUCUUUCCACUACAUGGUGCUUGCUUUGAUUAACCCCACUGGGUAGUAAUUUACAGUUGGCCUUAAUCCUAUACUUCUUCAUACCUACAAAUGUAUGAAUGCCUGAAUUUUACUGCAAACCAUAGUCAAUACCCCUCCAUGAGAUGAACCACAAAAAAACAUGGAAAUGAGAAUCAACGUGUUAAUUUAUCACUUAUGUGCAUUUCUAAUCUUAUUCCCCAGAGAAUAACUCCCUGAGCUGGUGCACAUGACAAUAAUUUAUUGUAUAUUUCAAAAUAGCUAUGUAUUAGGAUUCUCUUAGAGAGAUAGAACUAAUAGGGUGUAUAUACAUAUAUAUAAAGGGGAGUUUAUUAAGUGUUAACUUACAUGAUCACAAAGUCCCACAAUAGGCUGUCUGCAAGCUGAGGAGCAAGGAGAGCCAGUCCGAGUCCCAAAACUGAACAACUUGCUGUCCGAUGUUCAAGGGCAGGAAGCAUCCAGCACGGGAGAAAGAUGUAGACUGGGAGGCUAGGCCCAUCUCGCCUUUUUUGUUUGUCUGCCUGCUUUAUACUCGCUGGCGGCUGAUUAGAUGCUGUCCACCCAGAUUAAGGGUGGGUCUGCCUUCCCCAGCCCACUGACUCAAAUGUUGAUCUCCUUUGGUAAC